CGCGUAGGCGGACAGUUUAGUCAGAGGUGAAAGCCCAGGGCUCAACCUUGGAACUGCCUUUGAUACUGGCUGUCUUGAGUUCGGGAGAGGUGUGUGGAACUCCGAGUGUAGAGGUGAAAUUCGUAGAUAUUCGGAAGAACACCAGUGGCGAAGGCGACACACUGGCCCGAUACUGACGCUGAGGCGCGAAAGCGUGGGGAGCAAACAGGAUUAGAUACCCUGGUAGUCCACGCUGUAAACGAUGAGUGCUAGUUGUCGGCAUGCAUGCAUGUCGGUGACGCAGCUAACGCAUUAAGCACUCCGCCUGGGGAGUACGGUCGCAAGAUUAAAA
rnacentral:rRNA from 1 species